rnacentral:rRNA from 1 species
GACGAACGCUGGCGGCGUGCCUAAUACAUGCAAGUAGGACGCAGUUGCGAACGGGUGAGUAACGCGUAGGUACCUGCCUAUUAGUGGGGGAUAACUAUUGUAAACGAUAGCUAAUACCGCAUACUAGUAGAUGGACCUGCGUUGUAUUGGCUAGUAGGUAGGGUAAUGGCCUACCUAGGCGACGAUACAUAGCCGACCUGAGAGGGUGAUCGGCCGCACUGGGACUGAGACCAGGCCCGUGAUCCUACGGUGGGCAGCAGUAGGGAAUCUUCGGAAAUGGGGGGAGACCUGACCGAGCAACGCCGCGUGAGUGAAGAAGGUUGUCGGAUCGUAAAGCUCUGUUGUUAAGGAAGCGGUACUUAACCAGGAAGCGACGGCUAACUACGUGCCAGCAGCCGCGGUAAUUC